rnacentral:rRNA from 1 species
UCGAUCGGAAGACGGGAGCUGGCUCCGUGAAGUUUAAGGCUGAAGGGUGAGUAACACGUGGGUAACCUGCCUGUAAGACUGGGAUAACUCCGGGAAACCGGGGCUAAUACCGGAUGCUUGAUUGAACCGCAGGUUCAAUUAUAAAAGGUGGCUUUUAGCUACCACUUACAGAUGGACCCGCGGCGCAUAGCUAGUUGGUGAGGUAACGGCUCACCAAGGCGACGAUGCGUAGCCGACCUGAGAGGGUGAUCGGCCACACUGGGACUGAGACACGGCCCAGACUCCUACGGGAGGCAGCAGUAGGGAAUCUUCCGCAAUGGACGAAAGUCUGACGGAGCAACGCCGCGUGAGUGAUGAAGGUUUUCGGAUCGUAAAACUCUGUUGUUAGGGAAGAACAAGUACCGUUCGAAUAGGGCGGUACCUUGACGGUACCUAACCAGAAAGCCACGGCUAACUACGUGCCAGCAGCCGCGGUAAUACGUAGGUGGCAAGCGUUGUCCGGAAUUAUUGGGCGUAAAGCGCGCGCAGGCGGUUUCUUAAGUCUGAUGUGAAAGCCCCCGGCUCAACCGGGGAGGGUCAUUGGAAACUGGGGAACUUGAGUGCAGAAGAGGAGAGUGGAAUUCCACGUGUAGCGGUGAAAUGCGUAGAGAUGUGGAGGAACACCAGUGGCGAAGGCGACUCUCUGGUCUGUAACUGACGCUGAGGCGCGAAAGCGUGGGGAGCGAACAGGAUUAGAUACCCUGGUAGUCCACGCCGUAAACGAUGAGUGCUAAGUGUUAGAGGGUUUCCGCCCUUUAGUGCUGCAGCAAACGCAUUAAGCACUCCGCCUGGGGAGUACGGUCGCAAGACUGAAACUCAAAGGAAUUGACGGGGGCCCGCACAAGCGGUGGAGCAUGUGGUUUAAUUCGAAGCAACGCGAAGAACCUUACCAGGUCUUGACAUCCUCUGACAACCCUAGAGAUAGGGCUUCCCCUUCGGGGGCAGAGUGACAGGUGGUGCAUGGUUGUCGUCAGCUCGUGUCGUGAGAUGUUGGGUUAAGUCCCGCAACGAGCGCAACCCUUGAUCUUAGUUGCCAGCAUUCAGUUGGGC